rnacentral:rRNA from 1 species
GAUGAACGCUGGCGGCGUGCCUAAUACAUGCUAGUCGAGCGAACAGACGAGGAGCUUGCUCCUCUGACGUUAGCGGCUGACGGGUGAGUAACACGUGGAUAACCUACCUAUAAGACUGGGAUAACUUCGGGAAACCGGAGCUAAUACCGGAUAAUAUAUUGAACCGCAUGGUUCAAUAGUGAAAGACGGUUUUGCUGUCACUUAUAGAUGGAUCCGCGCCGCAUUAGCUAGUUGGUAAGGUAACGGCUUACCAAGGCGACGAUGCGUAGCCGACCUGAGAGGGUGAUCGGCCACACUGGAACUGAGACACGGUCCAGACUCCUACGGGAGGAAGCAGUAGGGAAUCUUCCGCAAUGGGCGAAAGCUUGACGGAGCAACGCCGCGUGAGUGAUGAAGGUCUUCGGAUCGUAAAACUCUGUUAUUAGGGAAGAACAAAUGUGUAAGUAACUAUGCACGUCUUGACGGUACCUAAUCAGAAAGCCACGGCUAACUACGUG